CGAGGUUGGAGUGGCUUGGUGUUGCGUUGAAGACAAGUUCUUCUUCCUACUUUGCAGCGUGAAUUACCUGGAUGCGUUUAAUAGUCAAAUAUGACUAUUGUAAUUAUGUUAUUUUGAAAAUGGACGUAUUAUCUGCAUAACUACCACUAUAAGCCAAGGAAGCAUUUCGCAGGAGCUCCCAAUUAAUUCAAUCUGGACUGAGGAUUCCUGACGAGUCAAAAUGGUUCACGUAUACAACUGCCAUCCUUUUGCGUCGCAACAAAUCGUACAGGUGGAACAGGAACCAGGACUUUUGUGCUCCGGUGGAGGAGUUAUAUUUGUUGUGGCCACAGGAGGAUGCAAGGUUACAUCGAAUUUUAUUGUUUUUGUCUGGUUUCGAUUAACUUAAUCAUUUGCAAUCACAAAACAAAAUACUCCUUUUUUUUCAUUGGAUCAUUAUUCAAUUUCCCGUUGAGCGUUGUUAAAGGUCCUGCAAUGAUGAAAGCAGAACAGGUUUUUCUGUACACACUGAACUGAAAUCCAGAUGUCCAAUU